UACGAAGGGAGCUAGCGUUGUUCGGAAUCACUGGGCGUAAAGCGCGCGUAGGCGGCUUGUCACGUCGGAUGUGAAAGCCCGGGGCUUAACCCCGGGUCUGCAUUCGAUACGGGCUAGCUAGAGUGUGGUAGGGGAGAUCGGAAUUCCUGGUGUAGCGGUGAAAUGCGCAGAUAUCAGGAGGAACACCGGUGGCGAAGGCGCCACUCUGGGCCGAAACUGACGCUGAGGAGCGAAAGCGUGGGUAGCAAACAGG
rnacentral:rRNA from 1 species